rnacentral:rRNA from 1 species
UGGGGAAUUUUGGACAAUGGGGGAAACCCUGAUCCAGCCAUCCCGCGUGUGCGAUGAAGGCCUUCGGGUUGUAAAGCACUUUUGGCAGGAAAGAAACGUCGCGGGUUAAUACCCCGCGAAACUGACGGUACCUGCAGAAUAAGCACCGGCUAACUACGUGCCAGCAGCCGCGGUAAUACGUAGGGUGCAAGCGUUAAUCGGAAUUACUGGGCGUAAAGCGUGCGCAGGCGGUUCGGAAAGAAAGAUGUGAAAUCCCAGAGCUUAACUUUGGAACUGCAUUUUUAACUACCGGGCUAGAGUGUGUCAGAGGGAGGUGGAAUUCCGCGUGUAGCAGUGAAAUGCGUAGAUAUGCGGAGGAACACCGAUGGCGAAGGCAGCCUCCUGGGAUAACACUGACGCUCAUGCACGAAAGCGUGGGGAGCAAACAGGAUUAGAUACCCCGGUAGUCCACGCCCUAAACGAUGUCAACUAGCUGUUGGGGCCUUCGGGCCUUGGUAGCGCAGCUAACGCGUGAAGUUGACCGCCUGGGGAGUACGGUCGCAAGAUUAAAACUCAAAGGAAUU